rnacentral:rRNA from 1 species
GGUGGAGCAUGUGGUUUAAUUCGAAGCAACGCGAAGAACCUUACCUACUCUUGAAAUCCAGUGAACUUAGCAGAGAUGCUUUGGUGCCUUCGGGAACACUGAGACAGGUGCUGCAUGGCUGUCGUCAGCUCGUGUUGUGAAAUGUUGGGUUAAGUCCCGUAACGAGCGCAACCCCUAUCCUUAUUUGCCAGCGAGUGAUGUCGGGGACUAUAAGGAGACUGCCGGUGACAAACCGGAGGAAGGCGGGGAUGACGUCAAGUCAUCAUGGCCCUUACGAGUAGGGCUACACACGUGCUACAAUGGACGGUACAGAGAGUCGCGAGACCG